AUUGAACGCUGGCGGCAUGCCUUACACAUGCAAGUCGAACGGCAGCACGGGUGCUUGCACCUGGUGGCGAGUGGCGAACGGGUGAGUAAUACAUCGGAACGUACCUUAUCGUGGGGGAUAACGCAGCGAAAGCUGUGCUAAUACCGCAUACGCCCUGAGGGGGAAAGCAGGGGAUCGCAAGACCUCGCGCGAUUAGAGCGGCCUAUGCCUGAUUAGCUUGUUGGUGGAGUAAAAGCCCACCAAGGCGACGAUCAGUAGCUGGUCUGAGAGGACGAUCAGCCACACUGGGUCUGGGAACCGGCCCAGACUCCUACGGGUGGCAGCAGUGGGGAAUUUUGGAAAAUGGGGGCAACCCUGAUCCAGCAAUGCCGCGUGAGUGAAGAAGGCCUUCGGGUUGUAAAGCUCUUUUGUCAGGGAAGAAACACCGGCUCUAACACAGUCCGGGAAUGACGGUACCUGAAGAAUAAGCACCGGCUAACUACGUGCCAGCCGCCGCCGUAA
rnacentral:rRNA from 1 species